UUUUUUAUAAAGUGGGUUCACUAGUUAGGUGGGUCCCCAUUGUCAGGUUAUAGUACUGGGUCCUAGCCAUCAGGGCAAUAUUCUUCAAUUUUUUAAUUUAACGCAAAUAAAUACCUAGUAUUUAAAUUGGCACACAGAACACACGAAAUACUUCAAAUAUUAUCAACCAUCAAAGCGUUACAUCAUAUAACACACAUACAAAUGUGAUCAGCAUCAAGUUUACAAUCAGAUAACAAGCUCCACAAGUGUACAAUCACAUGAGCCAGAUUCUGCUACAUCAUAUAACACACAUACAAAUAGGAGCAGCAGAAAGGGCUUCAUUACUCUCAGAACUAGCUCCAAUGAGCUAGAACUAUUCUUCCUCCGACUUCUUUGUCCUGAUGCUCACGAAGAAACAUGAAAGCCAGCAUCUGCAUGUUACAGAACAAAAUGUUUAGGAACAAAAUAUAAGUAAAUCUAACAGCAUAUUUAACAAUAAAUAACAGAAUAAUGAAGUUAAUGAGACAUUUUAGAAUCAACUUGACAGUUGACUAUAAUGUUUGCAUUGGACACAUCCAAAACUAAAAUUAUACAUAAAUGCCUAAAUUCCAAUGCCCAAUGCCUCAGUUUAGUAAACACUAAGGGUACAUAGUAAAGAUUUGACACAACCAGAACUGAAAUCAUUUACUCUAUCAAGCAACAAUGAUGCAGCACACAAGAAAAGAGAGAUGCACAACGGAGCAGCAUCGUAUAUGACACAAUAUGGACACUGCAAGCUCACCGAAGAACUUGUGGUCGCCACCGUACACAGCCGCCAUAACGCCGGUCACCUCGUUGAUCUUGUCCUUGAAGUUCUCUAACUCCAGGUUGUUCCACUGCAGCUCGGUAUUUGCUCAACCGUAUGUGUACAUGCAUCAGGGCAUACAUAAAAUAUUCAAGUCAAUAUUCUCAGCUAACUGUGAUGUAAUGAAAAUAAUUACUUAAGGACUUGGGGUAAAAAUUGAUUUUAGACAUCAAAAUUUGCAGUGCUCAUUUCAACCAUGUUCAGAUAAACUUGAGGUAAAUUAGCAGUAAUGAUAUUAGUUGCAAGCUAGGUGUGUAACUGUUGUCAACACCACCACCACCAGAGACACUCAAGAUAAGCAUCAACACCAACAUGAUCUUGAUAUUAGCCACCCCAUAUCACCAGAGCAUCAUAGGAGCAUAUAUAUAAAGCAAGUACACAUGGGCAGCUACUGACAGACCCUAGAACCGCAUGAAUUUAUCACCAGAGAGCUCCAGUAGGAGUUGAUGCUUGGUUACAACAUCUAGCAGCAACUAGUAGAGCCCCACAUCCAACCCAAAUCAUGGCCAAGGCCAUGCAGGAGCUACAUCAGAGAAGAAGGAACAGGGAGGAGCUCACCAGAGGGAGGUUGUAGCCGUAGCAGAGGCUCAGCCACACCACGGCUGCUGUGGAUGGUGACUCCAGGACAGCAGAGUAACAACAACGAUUCAGACUUGUUCCUCCAUGAGCAUGAGCUGCUGCAGAUGGAGCUCCUCCUCCUAGGCUUGUUGGCCCCAUCCUGCUCGUCACCAAUCGAUGUGCCGUCCCUGUGGUUGUGGAAUAGGAGCGCAUCAGGAAACCAAGGAAGAGAAGAUCAAAUCAUUUUUAUAUACACCCGUCUAAAUACACCCCACUAAAUACACCCAUCUAAAUACGUCCCGUGGUUAUGUUCAUAAUCAGAUCAGACAUUGAAUGAAACAAAAAUACACCCCACUGAUGAAGCCGCAAUAAUUGUCUUGGAUGUAUCCAUCACAGCAAUAAACAAGCACCAUAUUUCGCCAAAUCUCUAUUCUAUAAACAAUUUUCUCUGGACGAACUAUUCAAACCACCCAUCUAAACAAUACCGCAUCUGUCGUCACUCAAGUCAAUAAUACUCGUUGACAGGUCCACCAUCCAACACAAGGAUAAGAUACAGAAUUGGUGCAUCAUUUCAGGCAGCGCAAGCAAACUAAACAAAACAGCUUAAACCCUAGAUAAAUCUUAUGGCCGGUUGGGGGAAAGCAGAAACGGAAGAAGUACUAGAUUCAAAUUGCACAUUCAGUCAAGUUUAGUCAAUACAUGUAUGACACAGCCAUGCAUGACACAAACAAAAUAUACAGUUCAUCUCCUGAUCCACAUUACAAUCCAAGGCAAAGUACUAGUAAAUAAAAUAGUACGUACUCUGGUGACCACCGAGCUAGCUGAUUACCAGUUUACCACACUGAUUAUGACAGGAACAGAAACGAAAGGGAA
rnacentral:lncRNA from 1 species